rnacentral:snRNA from 1 species
GAUCAAAGUGUAGUAUCUGUUCUUAUCAGCUUAAUAUCUGAUACGUCCCCCAUUGGGGGACUUCGAUAUUAAACUGAUUUUUGGAACGCGGCGAAGAUUCA